GCCGGGAUGGUGGAACUGGUAGACACGCAGCGUUCAGGGCGCUGUGCUCGUAAGGGCGUAAGGGUUCGAUUCCCUUUCCCGGCACCA
rnacentral:tRNA from 1 species